AAAUUGUUCAGAAUUUAAUGACAGGGAGCCCCUUAGCAACCUCAGAAAGAGCCAUUUUGGUUGGUCAUUGAGGCAGAAGAAAGGAUGGAAUAAUUCCGGAACAGAGAAGACUUAACAUGCAGCUGGAAGGAUGGAGAAGCAAAGUGUGGCUUUAUGGCUAGUAAAGCAGCUCUGCCUGAAGGACAAAGCAAGGCUUUUAGAUGUGGGUGUUGAAGGGGAGGAGCAGACCCCUCCCUUCUAGCAGGCUGACAGUAGCUGGGAGGGCAAGCCCCCUUUGAUGAUGCAUGGAGGCAAUGUGGGAGAGGUGUGAGGAUGAUGGAGAGGAAGAAGCCUGGAUGUUCUUUGCUCUGAAAUGAUUUUUGCCAUCUUCAGUUCUGCAUAAAAAAAAA
rnacentral:lncRNA from 1 species